AUUGAACGCUGGCGGCAUGCCUUACACAUGCAAGUCGAACGGCAGCACGGGUGCUUGCACCUGGUGGCGAGUGGCGAACGGGUGAGUAAUACAUCGGAACGUACCUUAUCGUGGGGGAUAACGCAGCGAAAGCUGUGCUAAUACCGCAUAUGCCCUGAGGGGGAGAGCGGGGGAUCGCAAGACCUCGCGCGAUUAGAGCGGCCGAUGCCUGAUUAGCUUGUUGGUGGGGUAAAAGCCCACCAAGGCGACGAUCAGUAGCUGGUCUGAGAGGACGAUCAGCCACACGGGGACUGAGACACGGCCCAGACUCCUACGGGAGGCAGCAGUGGGGAAUUUUGGACAAGGGGGGCAACCCUGAUCCAGCAAUGCCGCGUGAGUGAAGAAGGCCUUCGGGUUGUAAAGCUCUUUUGUCAGGGAAGAAACACCGGCUCUAACACAGUCCGGGAAUGACGGUACCUGAAGAAUAAGCACCGGCUAACUACGUGCCAGCAGCCGCGGUAA
rnacentral:rRNA from 1 species